AGAUGAAAGACAGGACCCAGGGUCUCAGGAUGCUUGUUGCCUCCUAAGAGAGUUGGACAUUUCUGUUUUGAUUUGCAUUUCAACCGAGGUUGAUAGGGAGUAACCUUCACGUCUGAAUGACCUGGAAUGAUGCUUUGGAAUUAACUCCUCCUCAGUCCCAGUUUCACCAUCUGACAGGAGAAACAGAAAUUGCACAUGUCACCUAUUCUCUGUACCAGAGGAAGGAGAACUAUCCACGGACAAGAUGUGGGACAGGGUCUUGACGUGUUGCCCAGGCUGGUCUCAAACUCCUGACCUCAAGUGAUCCUCCUGCCUUCACCUCCCAAAGCACUGGGAUUACAGGACAAGUUCAGGAACCCUAAAGGCAAACUGGCCUAGGGCCUGGGAAGUGGAGAAUGCCUAUUCCUAGGCUAACCCAAGCAUUAGAGAAGCAUCAGGCCGCCAUUCUAGAUUCAACUGCUCACCUCC